CAGCCGCCACGGUAACACGUAGGGUGCAAGCGUUAAUCGGAAUUACUGGGCGUAAAGCGUGCGCAGGCGGUUAUAUAAGACAGAUGUGAAAUCCCCGGGCUCAACCUGGGAACUGCAUUUGUGACUGUAUAGCUAGAGUACGGCAGAGGGGGAUGGAAUUCCGCGUGUAGCAGUGAAAUGCGUAGAUAUGCGGAGGAACACCGAUGGCGAAGGCAAUCCCCUGGGCCUGUACUGACGCUCAUGCACGAAAGCGUGGGGAGCAAACAGGAUUAGAUACCCGUGUAGUCCCUGUCUCUUAUAA
rnacentral:rRNA from 1 species